rnacentral:rRNA from 1 species
AUGGCGGGCCGCGGGAAGAAGGGCGGGAAGGGGGCGGAGGACCUGGGCCGCGCGCUCAUACGCCAGCAGAACAGGGCGGCGGCGGCCGCCAAGGAGCGGGGCGAGGCGCUCGCCUCCUCCUCCCGCCGCCGCGCGCCGCCCCUCGAGUCCGUCAUCGACGUCAGCGAGAUCGACGCCGUCCUCCAGCGCGCCGCCGAGGAGGACCGCCUCCAUUCCGCCCUCGCCGCCGCCGCCUCCGCCUCCUCCUCCGACCUCAUCAUCGACUUGGAUGCGACGGGAGAGACAGCCGAGGAGAGGCGAAGGCUUCGGAAGGAGCAAGAGGCGCUGCACGCCAACAGCCUGGGGGUUCCAAGGCGUCCACCGUGGACUAACCGGAUGACCGCGGAGGAGCUCGACACGAGCGAGAGGCAGGCGUUCCUUGAGUGGCGGAGGAAUCUUGCGAGAUUGGAAGAGAAUGACAAGCUUGUCCUUACACCUUUCGAGAAGAACAUUGACAUCUGGAGACAGCUCUGGAGAGUAAUUGAACGCAGUGAUUUGCUGGUCAUGGUAGUUGAUGCUCGAGAUCCCUUAUUCUACCGGUGUCCUGAUCUUGAGGUAUAUGCAAAGGAACUUGAUGAACACAAGAGAACAAUGCUCCUUGUCAACAAGGCUGAUCUACUACCUUUAAAUAUCAGAAAAAUAUGGGCAGAUUAUUUCAAGGAGCACGAUAUUCUUCAUGUUUUCUGGUCUGCUAAAGCUGCUACUGCCACAUUAGAAGGAAAAAUGUCGAGUGGUGAACAAGGUUCUGCUUCACCUGAUAUGGAUACCAAGAUAUCUGGCAGGGAAGAACUUUUGAUGAGGUUGCAAGCUGAAGCGAAAUCUAUCGCAGCACAAAGAAGGACGUCAGCUAUGGCUAAACAUGUAGUUGCUGGAUUUGUUGGUUAUCCAAAUGUUGGGAAGAGUUCCACCAUAAAUGCUUUGGUUGGUGAGAAGAAGACCGGUGUUACUCACACACCUGGUAAGACAAAACAUUUCCAGACAUUGAUAAUCUCUGAAGAGCUCAUGCUGUGUGAUUGUCCUGGUCUGGUCUUCCCUUCAUUCUCAAGCUCAAGGCAUGAGAUGGUGUCAUGCGGUGUCUUGCCGAUUGAUAGGAUGACAAAGCACCGGGAAGCUAUCCAGGUGGUGGCAGAUCGUGUCCCAAGAGACGUCCUGGAGCAGAUUUACAAGAUCACCUUGCCAAAGCCAAAGCCAUACGAACCACAAUCUCGGCCACCGACUGCAGCUGAGCUGUUGCGGGCAUACUGCGCGUCUCGGGGCCAUGUCAGCCAUGGCGGGCUGCCUGACGAGACAAGGGCUGCUAGGCAGAUACUCAAGGACUACAUCGACGGCAAAAUCCCACACUACGAACUCCCUCCUGGUGUUGUCACAGACGAUGAAGUAGAAACAAGAGAAUCUACUGUUGCAGCAGCAGAAGGUCCGACUGCUUCAGCAGUUGACGAAUCUGGCAGUGACGACUCCGAUGAACAGGAUGAUAUGACAGGAGGUCCAGACAUGAGGCAGCUCUUGAGUGACCUCGAGUCUUUCGACUUGGCCGCCAGCGAAGGGUCCAAUGCCACUGGAAAGAAGAAGCAGCACCAGGCAUCACAGAAGCAGCACAGGAAACCCCAGCGGAAGAAGGACCGGUCCUGGAGGGCUAGCAACGAUGGCAGCGAUGGGACGGCGGUGGUAAGGGACUUCCAGAAGCCCACCGUCAGUCAUCCCACGGUCAGCGUGGAUGGAAAUGUCUAG